GACGAACGCUGGCGGCGUGCUUAACACAUGCAAGUCGAACGGUAAGGCCCCAGCUUGCUGGGGUACACGAGUGGCGAACGGGUGAGUAACAAGUGGGUGACCUGCCCCGCACUUCGGGAUAAGCCUGGGAAACUGGGUCUAAUACCGGAUAGGACCGCACCGUGGGGGUGUGGUGGAAAGUUGUUCGGUGUGGGAUGGGCCCGCGGCCUAUCAGCUUGUUGGUGGGGUAAUGGCCUACCAAGGCGGCGACGGGUAGCCGGCCUGAGAGGGUGGAUGGCCACAUUGGGACUGAGACACGGCCCAGACUCCUACGGGGGGCAGCAGUGGGGAAUGUUGCACAAUGGGCGGAAGCCUGAUGCAGCGACGCCGCGUGGGGGAUGACGGCCUUCGUGUUGUAAACUCCUUUCGCCAUCGACGAAGGUUUUCUGACGGUAGAUGGAGAAGAAGCACCGGCUAACUACGUG
rnacentral:rRNA from 1 species